rnacentral:lncRNA from 1 species
GCACACACGAGACCAGGCCCAGAGGUACAGGGCUGUGGCCUUCGAGCUGCCAGCCCAAUCCAUUUUUCUACCAUACCAAAAACCCCUUCUUUUUCAGCCCUCAUGACCGCGUCUUCCUCCAACAUCCCAGCCCCGGUCGUAGGCUCGGCAAGCCCGCUCCAGGGCCCACUUCCCAUCUCGGCGGCCGCAGACCCGCUGCCUCCCCAUCGGCGCGGCCCCAUCUUCACCUCUGAGCUCCUUGCCCCUCUCUCCCUGGCUGUCUCUGUCCUUAUCUGUCCCAAGUCUAUCUUUGUCUCUUCUCGAGCCGGGCUGUCUGCAGCAGAGGCUUCACCAGAGUGGAGGUGCUGACAGAGUGCGGGGUGUGGGGAGGACAAUCUGUGUCCCUUCUUGAGCCUUAUCGGGAAAACUUAAGUCACUGCUCAGGGCUCAGACUGGAAUUUCGCCCUAGAUGACCUUGCUGGGUCUGCUGGGGCCUCCGCAGGGACAGCCAGGGUCAAACGAGUCAGGAAACAGGCCCCUGCUUGUGGGCCGCCUGCCCGCCCUCAUCCCAACCAGGCCGCCUGCAGCGCCCUCGGCGGGAGACGCCGGGGAGGGGAGAGAAGGGAGGAGACGGGAGGGGCGGCCCCGUCUUGGGCACUCGCAGGGACUGGCGGGAGGCCGUGUGGGGCUGGAAUCGUGACCACGGAUGCCGCAAGGCCACAGGGCCCUCCUCGGGGUCCCGGCCGGAAAUCCUCAGGGGCCCGAGGAGGAGCCGGGGCGGCCACCCGACCACCUCCCCGCGGGCCGCAGGCAGGCGGCGCGCCGUACCCGCCGAGAACGCGGGAAGAGGCCAUCGCGUCUGGACACCUGGGCUUCGUCCCAGAGCCGUCACUGCUGUGUCCCCUUGGGCAACUGCCUAGCUCCCUGAGCCUCACUUUUCACACCUGGAACAUAGGAAAAUUGCGCCCACCUUCUGGGUCGUGGCAGAUAAAAUGAGUUCACGUCAGGGCUGGCUCUCAGGAGGCGCUCAGUGCUCGUGGCUUUCCUCCCCGGUGGACAGAACCCCGGGGCAGCUCCCCGCGCCCUGACGCCCAGAGCGGAGCGGCCCGGAGCGGAGCGACCACCGCACACUGGACCCGACCCUAGUCGGCCCCGCGCGCCCGGGUCGGGGCUGGAACCUGCGGGCGUGGCGCACGCCUGCCACCUGGCGGCGAAGCCCCCAGGCCGCCCGUCCCGCCCACGGCUGCGCGCGUGCGCAGGCCUGCACCACCCAGUCGCCCCCACCACGCCGCGCCCCGCCUCCCUCGCCCAGGGACUUCCUAGGCCACGCCACGCCGCUCCACCAGCUCAGGGAACCCCCUUGGCCGUGCAGACCUGCGCCACAGGGUCGUUUCCUCCCCUCCUUCCCUCGAAAGCGUAUGCAUUUCGUUGCCCCUGGAACUGGGGUCAUUUCAGGACCUCCCAAGGAGGGUCAGGAUGGUGGUAUUGGCCUUAGGGGACGCGGGCUCAGGUUGGCGGUUGAACCGCAUGUUCCUGUUUCAAACAAACCUAAAUGUAGGCCUGGAAGGCUGUGCACUGAAAUCCUAGUAUUAGGUUGGUGCAAAAUUAAUUGCGAUUUUUGCCAUUGUAGGUUGUCUGCAGAGUGAGAUUAUGGCGAAGCAUUUUAUUCUUUUUACAAACCUGCUUUUUCUCAGUUUUCCACAUUGGAUUUGCCAGCUACCUGCCUUUGCAGGACACCUCAGAAGUUACAGACUUGCCUGUGGAAAUGCAGAGAGCACCUGAGGUAUUUCCCGGACUCUCCAGUAGUAGCCUUGAAUGGCUGACCAACCGCAGUCACCUGCCAGAUCUUCUCAGAACCGGCCAGCCCACCAGCGACAGGCCCAUUAAGUGGCCUGGCCCAGCCCAGAUGGAAAACCCCCUCCACGUGACUUUCUAAAGAACAUGCAUGAAGACAAAACACCAGGUGCCUCAGGUGUGACACCCUGAGGACACAUCACCUGUACAGUAUCCUAACCCACCCAAGAUGACACAGUAAGCUAACUGCAGUGAGGUGUACAGGGCCAUGGGGCUCUGGGAUGAACUCUUCCACCUCUACACCUUGUAAACAAGGAUUCCAGACACACCCUCCAAAUGGGAAUGGAGACACACGUUUGGCAGAGUUGGACAGUAACGCUGCUCUCCUAUCAGCCUGGACUUUGAGGGGAGUGGAAAACAUGAGUGUGGAGGUGCAGCAGUCCUGGUAUCCCCUGAAACCAGCCUGUGGGGGGAACAGUCUUCCCAGGGGAGCUGCUCAGGAUCGUCCUGGUCCCAUGCAUCAGGAAGAAAAGGGAACCUGAGAGCAGAGGGAAAAUGCAGAAAGUGGGGCAGGGAGACUGCUCCCUGAAACCCCCAUGGGCUGCUGGUCCAAGCAGAAAGUGUUGUCGGAGGGGGGAGAGGCAGGGUGAAAUGGGACAGGAAACGAGGACUUCCGAUGAGGAGGAGGAGGGGGCAGUGGGCUGCGGGUCUUGGGGACUGAACAGAAUGGGGUUUGCUAGACAGAGCUUUCGUCUACCCACUCCUGAAGUCCUGCUGGACCUCAGCUGGCCCUUGUGAACUGUUGAGGGGGAUAUAAACACAAAGGCCUGCAUUCCUGUGGGUGCACAAUCCUAAGAGACCAUGGACUGCCUGUGUGUGGUGGGAACAGGAAAAGGAGGCUGAGUGUAGCCCUGCUUGGAAUUUAGUGUCCACCACAGAUGUAUCCACUACCCAGGGCCAAAGACUCGGCAGCCUCAGAAGACUCAAUGGAAGCUGAGCACAGGACUAGAAAGGGUCAGGGCCCUCCUCUGUAUGUAGGGGUGGCACAUGGCCACUAGCUGGGUGAUGGGGCACUGAGAAAUUAAAUGUUUGACAUAAAAAUGUAAUCAGGACCCGAGAGGAGGUGGGUGGUGUAAUGAACAGCAUCCUAGAAGUCCGGUACAGAUUUCACGUGUCACCUUCUAGUUCCUUAUCUGAAAUUGAAAGGUGAGGUCAGGUGCAGUGGCUCAGGCCUGUAAUCCCAGCACUUAGGGAGGCUGAGGAGGGCAUAUCAUUGAGGUCAGGUGUUUGAGACCAGCCUGGCCAACAUGGUGAAACCUCUACUAAAAAUACGAAAAUUAGCCGGCUGUGCUGCACACGCCUGUCGUCCCAGCUACUUGGGAGGCUGAGGCAGGAGAAUCCCUUGAACCUGGGAGGCAGAGGCUGCAGUGAGCUGAGAUCACACCACUGCACUCAAGCCUGGGCAUCACAGCGAGACUUCUUAAAAAAAAAAAAAAAAUUUAAAGGUGAGCCAGUUCAGGCUUCUAGAGGCACUGCAGUUACAGACGGUAAACUGCACAAAUCCUGGGUGUGAAGCUGUUUUUUCCUGUGUAACCACCACCCAUUGACAGCAUCCCAGAAAGUUCAAGUGUGUCCCUUCCCAGUUUACAGCCACCCGCCUCCCACCCUCACUUCUAAAUCCACCGAUUAGCAGUGUGUCUUGGAAAUUAAUAUACAAGGAAUCAUAUAGUAUGUGCUCUUUUGUGUUUGGCUUCUUUGCUCAAGAUGUCCGUGAGAUUCAGCCGGGUUGCCUCUCUCUGUAAUAUGUUAAUUUAGGUGUAGUAUCCAUUGUCUGGAAAUACAAUUGUCUAUUCUCUACUGGUGGAUAUUUGAGUGUCUCUGGUUUGGGGCCAUUAUAAUAAAACUGUUGUGAAUCUUCUUAUA